AACGCUGGCGGCGCGCCUAACACAUGCAAGUCGAACGAAGUCAAGAGGAGCUUGCUCUUUUUGACUUAGUGGCGAACGGGUGAGUAACGCGUGAGGAACCUGCCUCAAAGAGGGGGACAACAGUUGGAAACGACUGCUAAUACCGCAUAAGCCCACAGCUCCGCAUGGAGCAGAGGGAAAAGGAGCAAUCCGCUUUGAGAUGGCCUCGCGUCCGAUUAGCUAGUUGGUGAGGUAACGGCCCACCAAGGCGACGAUCGGUAGCCGGACUGAGAGGUUGAUCGGCCACAUUGGGACUGAGACACGGCCCAGACUCCUACGGGAGGCAGCAGUGGGGAAUAUUGCACAAUGGGGGAAACCCUGAUGCAGCGACGCCGCGUGGAGGAAGAAGGUCUUCGGAUUGUAAACUCCUGUUGUUGGGGAAGAUAAUGACGGUACCCAACAAGGAAGUGACGGCUAACUACGUGCCAGCAGCCGCGGUAAAACGUAGGUCACAAGCGUUGUCCGGAAUUACUGGGUGUAAAGGGAGCGCAGGCGGUAAGACAAGUUGGAAGUGAAAUCUAUGGGCUCAACCCAUAAACUGCUUUCAAAACUGUUUUUCUUGAGUAGUGCAGAGGUAGGCGGAAUUCCCGGUGUAGCGGUGGAAUGCGUAGAUAUCUAGGAGGAACACCAGUGGCGAAGGCGGCCUACUGGGCACCAACUGACGCUGAGGCUCGAAAGUGUGGGUAGCAAACAGGAUUAGA
rnacentral:rRNA from 1 species